rnacentral:ncRNA from 1 species
CCUACUGAAUUUAAGCAUAUUAGUCAGUGGAGAAAAAGAAAUUAACCUGGACUCCCUCAGUAACAGCAAGUGAACAGGGAAGAGCCCAGCAUUGAAUCCCUGCCCCACAGAAGGGUGCGGGAAAUGUGGCAUGUUGAAGACCCACUCCCUGGUGAUGCUCAUGGGGGCCCCAAGUCCUUCUGAUUGAGGCCCAGCCCAUGGACGAUGUGAGGCUGGUAGUGGUCCCCAGUGUGCCAGACCCAGGUCUUCCCAGAGUUGGGCUGCUUGGGAAUGCAGACAAAAGUGAGUGGUAAACUCCAUCUGUGGCUAAAUACUGGCAUGAGACCAAUAGUCAACAAGUACCAUAAGGGAAAGUUGAAAAGAACUUUGAGGAGAGACUUCAAGAGGGUAUGACCCGCUCUGGGGAUGGUACCAAGUAGGGAGUUUGACUGGGGCAGUCAAGGCCUGUCUUACAUAG